rnacentral:rRNA from 1 species
GAGUUUGAUCUUGGCUCAGAUUGAACGCUGGCGGCAGGCCUAACACAUGCAAGUCGAGCGGUAGAGAGAAGCUUGCUUCUCUUGAGAGCGGCGGACGGGUGAGUAAUGCCUAGGAAUCUGCCUGGUAGUGGGGGAUAACGCUCGGAAACGGACGCUAAUACCGCAUACGUCCUACGGGAGAAAGCAGGGGACCUUCGGGCCUUGCGCUAUCAGAUGAGCCUAGGUCGGAUUAGCUAGUUGGUGAGGUAAUGGCUCACCAAGGCGACGAUCCGUAACUGGUCUGAGAGGAUGAUCAGUCACACUGGAACUGAGACACGGUCCAGACUCCUACGGGAGGCAGCAGUGGGGAAUAUUGGACAAUGGGCGAAAGCCUGAUCCAGCCAUGCCGCGUGUGUGAAGAAGGUCUUCGGAUUGUAAAGCACUUUAAGUUGGGAGAAGGGCAGUAAAUUAAUACUUUGCUGUUUUGACGUUACCGACAGAAUAAGCACCGGCUAACUCUGUGCCAGCCG